rnacentral:rRNA from 1 species
GUUCGUGAAAUCUCACGGCUUAACUGUGAGCGUGCGGGCGAUACGGGCAGACUUGAGUACUGCAGGGGAGACUGGAAUUCCUGGUGUAGCGGUGGAAUGCGCAGAUAUCAGGAGGAACACCGGUGGCGAAGGCGGGUCUCUGGGCAGUAACUGACGCUGAGGAGCGAAAGCGUGGGGAGCGGACAGGAUUAGAUACCCUGGUAGUCCACGCCGUAAACGGUGGGUACUAGGUGUGGGUUUCCUUCCUUGGGAUCCGUGCCGUAGCUAACGCAUUAAGUACCCCGCCUGGGGAGUACGGCCGCAAGGCUAAAACUCAAAGAAAUUGACGGGGGCCCGCACAAGCGGCGGAGCAUGUGGAUUAAUUCGAUGCAACGCGAAGAACCUUACCUGGGUUUGACAUGCACAGGACGCCGGCAGAGAUGUCGGUUCCCUUGUGGCCUGUGUGCAGGUGGUGCAUGGCUGUCGUCAGCUCGUGUCGUGAGAUGUUGGGUUAAGUCCCGCAACGAGCGCAACCCUUGUCUCGUGUUGCCAGCGGGUAAUGCCGGGGACUCGUGAGAGACUGCCGGGGUCAACUCGGAGGAAGGUGGGGAUGACGUCAAGUCAUCACGCCCCUUAUGUCCAGGGCUUCACACAUGCUACAAUGGCCGGUACAAAGGGCUGCGAUGCCGCGAGGUUAAGCGAAUCCUUUUAAAGCCGGUCUCAGUUCGGAUCGGGGUCUGCAACUCGACCCCGUGAAGUCGGAGUCGCU